GAGUGAGAGCAAGCGUUUGUUUUGCUUGCCACUGAGUCACAUGACUAAAUCAUAUCCGCUGAUUCGGUUAAUGAGGACUUUCAUGCGUUUCCUCCUGUCUCUCUUCCUCCGAUGCCAUCCAUGCACCCAUUUGGUUGUUAUCUUGUCGAGACGGUAUGAAUACUUGAUAAUGGAAAAUUGCGCAUCGUUAAAGCAACGUUCACGAUUAUAUCGAAGGGGUUGCCACAGCACAUCAUCCUUUUCCACUACCUGAAUUUCCAACGACGCCCUGCAGGUUGACGGCGCCGGUGGCGGACGUUGUUAACCCGGGCCACGACCGAUCCGGCUUGGGACCGGCCUACAGUUUGCACUGACUUGUGCCCCCCAUAGGGCUGCAUUACAUCUGGCCUGACUCACUGUCCACUCAAAAUCCAACUAAAGGUACCCAGAGGAGUCCAGGAUGGGCAGCAUGACCUCUUGCCGCGUCCUCUCCACCCCGAAAGUCCACUCCAGGCUGGAAGAGCACCACGCCGAACCAGAACCGACCCUGCGGCAGGAGGAGACCUUCAUCAAAACCAACCUGCAACACAUCAGUGACAUCGAGAACAUGGACGGUGUUGGGAAAGACAGAUCCAACAUUAAAUUGGUCCUUCGAAACGGAUGUCAAUACACCCGAGGAUUCGAGUUGUGGAACCGACUUCCAGUUAAGAGACCGUGGCCACGGCAAGUAAGACCCUUUCCGGGACUGGUCUUCGUUCUCCUCAACUGGGAUCUGAAGGUUGACGACAAUCCACAGGAUUGAAGACGACUUUGCCAUUCUGACAUUGUGUGGAUGUUGCUGUAUCCCAUGCAUUCGGCCUUUAAUCAGUAUUAAUCACCACAGCAAUUAACCCCCAUGGAAGAACCGUAUGGAGCAGAUGUAUCCUUUAUUGGAUGUUGAUAAUGAUAAUGAUGAUGAUGAUGAUGAUGUUGCUUGACCUGAUUUGUUUCCUGAUCCAGGUGAUGACGAUGUUUAAACUACAACAUUCAUGUAUGACAAGUUUACUCUGAGUGUAAAUGUAUUUGUUUCAUAAAAAUGAUUCUACAGUUAAAAAUCGAAAUGAAGUGACUGUAAAAUGAUAUGAGAAUUUGUGCAAAUACAUGAUAAACAGGAGGGAAAUGUUAAAUAUAUUGUAGAAGUUAUCAUUUAUUUGCUUAGCUUGCAUUACUACGAUGGACGAUUUUGAGAAAGGAAGAUGUCUCGCCUUCAAGAAGAUGACUCAGCAGGAAUCAUCCGAUAGGAGGGUGCCUUGACCAAGGACGUGGCCGGGGACCUGGCAGGUGUUGGUCCCAUGUCUUCACCUUGAAACCCUCCCCUGAGUGUGUUGUGUCAUGUAGCUUAGUACGUUAUGUCUUGUAAAACCUCCCUAUUUCAAAUAAAUGCAGGAGCGACGGGAGAGAUUGUUGAGAGCGUGAUGAGAGGCUGUAAUCUGAAUAAUCUCCCAUACG